rnacentral:lncRNA from 1 species
CAGAUAAACACAUAAGUCAGUGAGUGAAUGCUGAAUAAUUCUUUUCUGGACCCCGUUGUGCUUGGCAACUACCACGCUGUUGAGUGAAUAACUGAGUGUAUAGUUUCAUUCCAGAAUUUAUUUUUUCCUUUGGCUUCUCCCCCACCCCCCACUUUUCUCCCUGUUUAAAAAUCCCAAAAAGACAUGACAGAAGCACAAAGAUCAAGGAUCAGGCAGUUGGUUUACCAGAAUAGUAAAGAAAAGAGAGAACCUGGAAUUUUUCCUCCAGCUUCAAUGUAGAAAAAAUGUCUAUAUCCCGAGGUCUGUCCUAGACUCUGGAGCACUGCUCUUGCUGUCCUCUUGUACCUCCCCAAACAGUAGGCCUAAGGGCUCUGCCUGGAGGGCUGGAGGCCCUGCAAAGAGCGAGGAAGCUGACUGAGCUGUGAUUGUUCCUGAGCUGUGGGGACAGUGGCUGUUCUGGGCACUUCAGGAAGUACUUGCUCUAAGAGGCCCUUCCAGCUAUUGUCUUUGGGGCCAGGACUGUUGGGCUGGCCCCGGGACAGGGUGCCCCCUCCAAGCCAAAGGUCUGCCUAGGGCUCAGGGGGCAGGAAGGUAAAACAGGGUCAGUACUCAACCAGGAAGGGGCCUUGGGCUCAAGCUUCUCUUUUCUUUAGGCCAUUAGCGCCAGGUGCCUCUGCACUUAUUUGUCUCCUCUGGCCAUGCACGUAUUGAUUAAAGAUAAGCCAGUCUCUCCGGGUGAUAGGUGGCCGGACCAGCGAGAACUAGCUGGUGCCAUGGAAGGCACGUGGACUUUGGAGUGGAGGCCCGAGGCUUGAACGCUGGCUCUGCCCCUCCCUCUGCCCUGGGACACUUCUGAAUCUCCUCUUCCUCUUCCUCUGCCAGAGAAGAGAUAUAAUCACCGGCUUGAGAGGCCAUGAGGAUGAGCCGAAUAAGAUUGAUGAACCUGUCAGGUACACAAUAGCAGUGGGAAAAGCCUGGUUUCCUUCCUUCUCUCGAGCAGCUGGACGAGGGAGGGCGGCGUGGGGAUGUGGUCGGGCGGCAGAUGUCACGUCUCACUGCAUUUCUGCCUGUCACAGGCUGCUGGCCUGGGCGCUGAGCCCGCUCCCGCCUGAAUUCUCCCGACAGCUGCCCUGCUUCUCCACUUGGACUUGCCGGGGCUCCCGUUGGAACCAAGAAAAGCCUCUGCUCUGCUCCAGUCACACACAAAAAAAUAGCAAGAAUGAUGCAACAUGUGUCUCUCAUGGCCACCAGCCACGGAGAAGGUCCAGGCAUCCAGAUCCCUACCCCAAACUCAUGCCAGCAUUGCAAAUCAAUGCCCUCUUGUUCCCAUGAAUCCUGGGUAACUCCCACCACUCUACCCGGCAGCAGCUCUGUCACCCCCUUAUCUCGUGACAAAGGCCACCAACCUAGCCACUGAGGCACAAAAUUGGCCGGGUGCAGAGAAAGUUUCUAAGUACCUAAUCCCUGUAACCUGACCUUUAAUUCUAAUAACAGUGACAUUUAUUAAAGAUUAUGUGCCUGGCACUGUUCUGAGCUCUUCAUAUUAACUCAUUUCAUCUUUACCAACGUAUUUUUGAGGUAGGCACAGUUUAUAUCACCAUUUUACAGGAGGAGAAACGGAGUCUCAGGGGGAGUGAUGUCAGCAUUAUGGCAGCAUGAGACAUUCCUCCAUUCUCUCCCCUUUUAACAAUGAAUUAAACAUCCAUCCAUGAAGAUGUCUCAGAGUGAGUUGUAGGAACCAGUACCAUAUGUCAAGGGACCCAGGAGGCCUCUCACCCAGCUGUGCAUCCAAAAAUAGGCAGACAGAUCUCUUGGUAAGGGCUGUGGGUUCUGAGUCUCAGAGACUUCAGUGGCUGGCCCACGACCAAAGACUUGACACGUUGCAGGUGAGAUGUGAACCCAUUUCUGCAGCUGCCGAGUCUAGUGUUUUCUGUGUUCCCACCAGGGCACUGAUUCCCAAACCAAAC